rnacentral:rRNA from 1 species
UACGUAGGGUGCGAGCGUUGUCCGGAAUUAUUGGGCGUAAAGAGCUUGUAGGCGGUUUGUCGCGUCUGCUGUGAAAAUCCGGGGCUCAACCCCGGGCUUGCAGUGGGUACGGGCAGGCUAGAGUGUGGUAGGGGAGACUGGAAUUCCUGGUGUAGCGGUGGAAUGCGCAGAUAUCAGGAGGAACACCGAUGGCGAAGGCAGGUCUCUGGGCCACUACUGACGCUGAGAAGCGAAAGCAUGGGGAGCGAACAGG